rnacentral:tRNA from 1 species
GGCCCUGUAGCUCAAUUGGUUAGAGCAUCCGGCUCAUAACUGGCAGGUUUCCGGUUCAAGUCCGGAUGGGGCCACC